GUAGGGUGCGAGCGUUAAUCGGAAUUACUGGGCGUAAAGCGUGCGCAGGCGGUUUUGUAAGACAGAGGUGAAAUCCCCGAGCUCAACCUGGGAACUGCCUUUGUGACUGCAAGGCUUGAGUGCGGCAGAGGGGGAUGGAAUUCCGCGUGUAGCAGUGAAACGCGUAGAUAUGCGGAGGAACACCGAUGGCGAAGGCAAUCCCCUGGGCCUGCACUGACGCUCAUGCACGAAAGCGUGGGGAGCAAACAGGAUUAGAUACCCUGGUAGUCCACGCCCUAAACGAUGUCAACUGGUUGUUGGGAAGGUUCCUUCUCAGUAACGUAGCUAACGCGUGAAGUUGACCGCCUGGGGAGUACGGCCGCAAGGUUG
rnacentral:rRNA from 1 species